rnacentral:rRNA from 1 species
ACUCAAAUGAAUUGACGGGGGCCCGCACAAGCAGCGGAGCGUGUGGUUUAAUUCGAUGAUACACGAAGAACCUUACCAGGGUUUGACAUGCGCGUGGUAGUGAAGCGAAAGCCGAACGACCCUUCGGGGAGCGCGCACAGGUGCUGCAUGGCUGUCGUCAGCUCGUGCCGUGAGGUGUUAGGUUAAGUCCUAUAACGAGCGCAGCCCCUACUGCCAGUUAUACGUGUCUGGCGGGACUGCCGGUCAUAAGCCGGAGGAAGGUGGGGAUGACGUCAAGUCAGCAUGGCCUUUAUAUCCUGGGCUACACACACGCUACAAUGGCCGGUACAAUGGGCUGCCAAGCCGCGAGGCGGAGCCAAUCCCACAAAACCGGCCUCAGUUCGGAUUGCAGGCUGCAACCCGCCUGCAUGAAGCUGGAGUUGCUAGUAAACGCGCGUCAGCUAUAGUGCGUUGAAUACGUUCCCGGGCCUUGUACACACCGCCCGU